rnacentral:snoRNA from 1 species
AAGCCAUGGUGUGGGCACAAAUUCAAAAGCUCUUUAAAAUUUUCCCAAGUUUGAUAUAAAGUUUCAUUUUCCUUCUGAGAGAAAUUGGAGAUUCUUUUUUUUAAUAAC